rnacentral:rRNA from 1 species
UACGUAGGGUGCGAGCGUUAAUCGGAAUUACUGGGCGUAAAGCGUGCGCAGGCGGUUUUGUAAGCCAGAUGUGAAAUCCUCGGGCUUAACCUGGGAAUGGCAUUUGGGACUGCAAGGCUGGAGUGUGGCAGUGGAGACUGGAAUUCCCGGUGUAGCAGUGAAAUGCGUAGAUAUCGGGAGGAAUACCGAUGGCGAAGGCAGGUCUCUGGGCUGACACUGACGCUCAUGCACGAAAGCGUGGGGAGCAAACAGG